AAAAUGUGACGCCAUCUUGGUCCGAGUUGUUGUCGAGACAUUCUGUGCUUGUCUCAUCCUAUGAAGAGUUAAAAGACGGAGGAGAAAACGAAAGCUGAGAGAUGGAGUGUGUUCAGCUCAGAUCCCGACAGGAGACAUCUUGAGCCUUAAUCGUUUGGUGGAAAUCAAUCGCUGUUCUGUCAUGGAUCAGCAUCUUAACAUUGUUCUUCUGGGAAAAACUGGAGUUGGGAAAAGUUCUUCAGCAAACACCAUUCUAGGACGGGAAGUGUUUAAGGCAGAAACACACUUUGAGUCAGUGACCAAAAUAUUUGUGUGGAACCUGUAACUCUGUUUGGGAGACAAAUUUUAGUGAUAGACACUGCAGACAUAUUAACAUCACAGGAGCAGAUUGCAAAAGUUCUUCUGAAUCUUUUGCCGGACUCCACUCCCUCUCUUUACCUGCUGGUGAUCAAAGUUGGUCGUUUCACUCAAGAGGAUGAAAAGGCUGUAGAGGCUGUAGAGAAAGUCCUCGGGCCUCAGAGGAUGAAAAAUUGUUUCCUGCUCUUCACAGGAGGAGAUAGGUUAAAUACAUCACUAGAGCAAUUUAUUUUAG